UGCGGAGGGAUCAUUACACAAAGAUAUGAAGGUAGGGUACUGGCAACAGUGCUCUGCUGAAAUAUUUUCACCCAUGUCUUUUGCGCACUUUUUGUUUCCUGGGCGAGUUUGCUCGCCACCAGGACCCCCAUAUGAACCUUUUUUGUUUUUGCACUCAGCGUCAGUACAAUAAUUUAAUCUAUUAAAACUUUCAACAACGGAUCUCUUGGUUCUGGCAUCGAUGAAGAACGCAGCGAAAUGCGAUACGUAGUGUGAAUUGCAGAAUUCAGUGAAUCAUCGAAUCUUUGAACGCACAUUGCGCCCUUUGGUAUUCCAAAGGGCAUGCCUGUUCGAGCGUCAUUUGUACCCUCAAGCUUUGCUUGGUGUUGGGCGUCUUAUUGUCUCUCCGUCUCGGGGAGACUCGCCUUAAAACAAUUGGCAGCCGGCCUACUGGUUUCGGAGCGCAGCACAAAUUUGCGCUUGCAAUCAGCCAAGGGCGGCAUCCAUGAAGCCUUUUUUCUCUCACAUUUUGACCUCGGAUCAGGUAGGGAUACCCGCUGAACUUAAGCAUAU
rnacentral:rRNA from 1 species